GAUGAACGCUGGCGGCGUGCCUAAUACAUGCAAGUCGAGCGAACGGACGAGAAGCUUGCUUUUCUGAUGUUAGCGGCGGACGGGUGAGUAACACGUGGAUAACCUACCUAUAAGACUGGGAUAACUUCGGGAAACCGGAGCUAAUACCGGAUAAUAUUUUGAACCGCAUGGUUCAAAAGUGAAAGACGGUCUUGCUGUCACUUAUAGAUGGAUCAGCGCUGCAUUAGCUAGUUGGUAAGGUAACGGCUUACCAAGGCAACGAUGCAUAGCCGACCUGAGAGGGUGAUCGGCCACACUGGAACUGAGACACGGUCCAGACUCCUACGGGAGGCAGCAGUAGGGAAUCUUCCGCAAUGGGCGAAAGCCUGACGGAGCAACGCCGCGUGAGUGAUGAAGGUCUUCGGAUCGUAAAACUCUGUUAUUAGGGAAGAACACAUGUGUAAGUAACUGUGCACAUCUUGACGGUACCUAAUCAGAAAGCCACGGCUAACUACGUG
rnacentral:rRNA from 1 species